rnacentral:rRNA from 1 species
AGGACGAACGCUGGCGGCGUGCUUAACACAUGCAAGUCGAACGAGGUCCAACCAGUGGCAACACUGGGGAAGACCGAGUGGCGAACGGGUGAGUAACACGUGAGCAACGUGCCCCGAAGACCGGGAUAACGACCGGAAACGGUCGCUAAUACCGGAUGCCCUCAUCUGAUCACAUGUUCGGAUGAGGAAAUGGAUUCCGCUUCGGGAGCGGCUCGCGGCUAUCAGCUUGGUGUGAGGUACGGCUCACCAAGGCUCCGACGGCUAGCUGGUCUGAGAGGACGACCAGCCACACGUGGACUGAGACACGGACCCAGACCUCCGUACGGGAAGGCAGCAGGUGGGAAUCGUUGCGCAAGUGGGACGAAAGC